UGGAUGGCCUAGAAAAGGGCCAGGUUGGCUCAGGUUUUGGUUUAAUGUCCUCAGAGGUGGGAGCUGGUUUGUUGUGCAUCUGCACCCUCUUGCCCAAGGAGCUGGGGUGUCUCCAGGCUGAGUGAACCAGAAGGCUUUCUUCCCCUUCUUGUGGUUGUCACGGCUGCUUUUGAAAUAGCAGAGGGGCUGCUGAGGGAUUGUAUCCUGAUGGUGGCAUCCUGCCAGGAAGGAUGGAGGAAGCAAAAGGAGAUGCUGGUGGUGGGGGCUUUCUGCUCUCUAGAUAGACAGCCUCUAACUCUUCCAAGGCAAUUCACAACCCUGCAACUCCAGCAGAGCCGCUUGUUUAUUCGUGACAGAUGGGAUCGGGGAGUGUUUCCCAAAUUACUUCCUGAGCUGGGACUUCUUGUUUCAUUUGGUGCUCGGGAGACCUCAGACAACAGCUGAUUAGUCACAAAAUGACGUCCCAGGUACUCGGUGAAUGUUAGGAGGGCUGCUUCCAGAGCUGAAACCUAUUAUUCCCUGUUUGCUUGUUUGGGAAGCCGUUGUGCAUGAUCCUCGCCUGCAAUACCCCAAGCACAGAGGACAGGGAAACCGAUCCUGAGCAGGCUCAGCUUGGCUGAGCCCCGCAGCAGCCAGGAGCGAGCAUGGUGGCCCUGUGGUGCAGAGGCAUGGGGCAGGCUCCAGCCUUCAUCCCUGGCUCUCUGGAGACCCAGCCUCUACCAUGCCAUGGGAUUAGUGUGCGGGUUGCUGUUCCUCAGGUCUGUAAGGUGUCCCCGUAGUAUCCCCAGGGAAAUGUGGCCUUGGUCUCGCUGGGGACUCCAGGGUGCUACUGAGCAGAUAUCUGUAAAUAAUUCAGUAAAUGCCUCUGGGGGAUCAUGCAUUUCAGCAGCCAGGGAGGCAGGUACUGUGGUUUCAGUCAGGAUUAUUUGCAUCAAAGAGCAGGGCCCUGAUGUACCGGUACCAGCCGGUGCUGCUGAGCGCGGAGGGAAGCACUGCCCCAUUACUGAGCUCCCUCUGCAUAAAUAUCAAAUCCUCCCCUCACCAGCAGCAAGCCUGGACUCCAAACUUCAGCAGGAGAGCAGCCUUGGACCCAAACUUCCCUAAAGCUCAACUAAUUGGUGUCUGAAGCAAGCAGCAGGACUGUGAUGCUCGUAGUACUUGGUCUCACCAUCAGAAAGUGCUGUGUAUCACAUCAAGUCCCCCUGACCAUGGACUAUGACAGCUAUAUGGAAAUAAUAUGGGCACUGUGGAAAUAAAUGCUGAGGUUUGAUUUCCCCUGGAAAGCUCCAAGGGGAGGCCUGGCAGAGCCCCACAUCCCGUGCACAUCGCUCCACCGCGUGGGGCAGCGGCUUGUGUUUUCCACGUGCCUCGCUGACUGCUAUCUCCUGAAACAGGCCGGGGCGAGCUGUGCCAAGGAAUCACACCAGGCUGACACCCAACACCUGCUGAAGGAUGGAAAACCUGUCCUUCCCAGGGGCACGAGGCUCGGGGGCUCAGCCCAGCCGCUGCUGCCCGUCUCUGUGCAGCGAUUCCUGCCUGGGCCCCGACCCUCCCAGGGGAGGGGAAUGGGGGGCUUGGGGGAUGGUCCCCACCUCCUGCCAGCUGUGCAGGUGAUGCUCAGAGCACUUGUUGCCUUCCAAACACCUGGAUGCAAUAAGAGCUGCCCUUAGCACACUGAGAACUGCCAGUAAGAAAUCCUACCGGUGCUGUCUUAAGAGGGUAUCUGAGUCAAACUGUCUCUGAAGGGUGGCUAAUAGCCGAUUUCUGGUGAGAUGGGGUGAUCCUGUUUUUCAUUAGGUAUUUCUAGGGGCCUCCCCAUCUCCUGGGUCAGCACCUCGGUAGCUGAGGGUGGCGUUGGAGGUGCUGCUGGGCACGGUGCAGACCCCGAGCAGCUCAGAGCUGCCACAUGGAUGCUGGAAGCGUUUCCCCUCUCCCUGCUCGAUCCCACGUGGGCUGUGGGGGAAGCAGAGCUCUUGGAAAGCAUCUCUGUGCGUGUGGGAGCAGGCGAGGGCUGUUUGUGCUAUCUUUGCGAAGGAAAAUGGGAUCAAACCCUCCCAGUGCAGUAGCUCUGCCCAGGCUGUCAGUGUUUUCUUUGUAUGUUUGAGGACGGAGCACCCCGAUGUCCCCUCUCCCUCCUAUUCCUGCUGGUUUUCCCCUCCCUUUCUUCUCCUGAGGUGCUGGAGGAUGGGGUCAGUGAUCAUUUCCUGGCUCGGUACACAAGGAAGCUCUUCCCAGCUGCCUCCCAUCAGACCCAGUGGACUUUUUGGGCAAAUACAGAGCUCAGAUCUCCAUCCCCACGUGCUGGUGAGGAGGUGGCAGUGUCCUCACUGCAGGCACCAGGCAGGUGAGGAUGAGCCUGGAGCCACCUGCAGGGGCUCCUGCUGCUUCUGGGCUCUGAAUCCAUGUGGAUUUUCCUUGGCUUGCAGGGCAAGACAAGCAAAUGCAAGAAGACUUGGAGCCUUUUACGUGGGCAAAUCAAAUCCUGAACUGCUGUCAGUUAAUUACAAUGAUUCAGUGCCCUGUGCAGCCUGCAGCUCCCCGCAGAGCCCUUGCCCCGGCUGCUCCAGAGCUGCAGGAGCUGGCCAGAUGCAGCAGCUCCCUCCGUAAUUGCGUUUCCUUUCAAUUAUGGCUCUCGCUGGCCCGAGCCUGGGAAGCAUUUCGUGUGUCUGUGGGCAGACUGGCUCAGCUACGCUUCCUGCCUGCAUGGCUGGCAGGCAGGCACCCGGCCACGACUGAAUCCAGGGUGAAAAGCGAGCCAAGCAGCGCCGGCGGUGAUGUGCAGGAGGUAUCGGUUACUGGCCCGGGGUGACCCGGCCGGGGAGUUUCAGGGAUGAUGUGACUGGCACCCAUCUGUUACUCUGCGGGGAAACCAGCACUGUUAGCUGGGAGAAAGGAGGAGAAAUAUGGGGGAAUAACCG